rnacentral:lncRNA from 12 species
GAAUAACUGGAGAAGGUCACAGAUGCGAUUUUCUUCUUCCAUUUUUAGCAUUGUGGAAUAUAAAAACUGAAGAAAGAAAUUAAAAAGAGAAAGAAUAAGCAGCAUCAAGACACCACCAUUAGUCAAGACCUCUGGCAUGUGCUGUGGACCUGUCCAGCCAUGGACUGUAGCUGUACUUACCAUGUCAUGGCAAGACUGAAAAGUUCAUUGACAAGUGCUUC